CCUACGGUGGGCAGCAGUGGGGAAUAUUGCACAAUGGGGGGAACCCUGAUGCAGCAACGCCGCGUGAAGGAAGACGGUUCUCGGAUUGUAAACUUCUAUCUAUAGGGAAGCAAGAAAUGACGGUACUUAAAUAAGAAGCCCCGGGUAACUACGUGCCAGCAGCCGCGGUAAUACGUAGGGGGCAAGCGUUAUCCGGAAUUACUGGGUGUAAAGGGGUAGUAGGCGGCAAGGUAAGCGAUAUGGUAAAGCCUUGGGCUUAACCUGAGGAUUGCAUAAAGAACUAUCUAGCUAGAGUACAGGAGAGGAAAGCGGAAUGCGUAGUAUAGCGGUGAAAUGCGUAGAUAUUAGGAAGAACACCAGUGGCGAAGGCGGCUUUCUGGACUGAAACUGACGCUGAGGCUCGAAAGCGUGGGGAGCGAACAGGAUUAGAUACCCUUGUAGUC
rnacentral:rRNA from 1 species